rnacentral:lncRNA from 1 species
GCUAUCUAUAAAUGAACGGUACAAAGAUCACCCUGUAGUUUAGUUGACUGUUGAAUGUGUGUGCUGUAUAGUUUGCAAUCAAAUUAAUAUGCUUUACUUUAACUUUGUUUUGUUGCAAAUAGAGUCACAUACAAUUGCAAAGUCAACAAAUUUUGUGUUCUUACCUAAAGCUACUAGAAAGCAAUGCAAGAAAACUCUCAGAGUUGUCAGAAAUCUGCCUUUAAGGUGGUCUAAGUCUCUACAAGCAUGCAGUAAGCUGGGCAAACUGUGGAAAUACGCUCCAGUCAUACUGGAAGCAAAAGAGUGUUUGAGUGGAUGAGAAAAUGCAAACUAGCUCGUUCAGAAUCACAGAAACUGAAGGCUAUUGAUCUUCCUGGCUGUCCUUCUGUUAACAUGCCACUGCAUUUUACCUUAGAAUCCAAAUCCUUUUUCUAAUCCUCCUUUACAUCUCUGAAAAGUUUUCUGUAGCAGCAUAUUUACAAAUCAAUGAGUUUGGCUGUCUGUAAAGUUUCCUAAUGGCCUUCUUUAUAUUUUUUUUCUUUCAAGUCCUUUUUCUUAAUCACAAGCCUUUAGACAAUUUGAUGAAGCUGAUCUUCUCUUUCUUUGCCAUUCCUUUUCCCAGAAUAUCUGUACACAACAAUCUAAUCCCCUUAUUCAGUUUCCUGUACUGUAGUUGGUAAUAUCGGAUUCAAAACUUAACCUCUUAACUUUAUUUAUUUUUUAUUUUUUGGCCUUAGGACAUAUAUGAACUUAUCACUUCCUAAAAUUGCAGAGGUCAGACUAGGUGCUUUCACACAGACUCAUCAGAGAUGGCCAUCUUGCCUAUUUUUAAAAACUGGACCAUGAACUUGACACCACUUACCUCUGGACAGUU